rnacentral:rRNA from 1 species
UACGGAGGGUGCAAGCGUUGUCCGGAUUUAUUGGGGUUAAAGGGUGCGUAGGUGGCCUUAUAAGUCAGCGGUGAAAGUCUGCAGCUUAACUGUAGAACUGCCAUUGAUACUGUAAGGCUUGAGUACUGAUGAGGUAGGCGGAAUUGAUAGUGUAGCGGUGAAAUGCAUAGAUAUUAUCAAGAACACCGAUUGCGAAGGCAGCUUACUAAGGAGUUACUGACACUGAGGCACGAAAGCGUGGGGAUCAAACAGG